UAUCAAUAAGCGGAGGAAAAGAAACCAACAGGGAUUGCCCUAGUAACGGCGAGUGAAGCGGCAACAGCUCAAAUUUGAAAUCUGGCUUCGGCCCGAGUUGUAAUUUGCAGAGGAUGUUUAUGGUGCGGUACCUUCCGAGUUCCCUGGAACGGGACGCCACAGAGGGUGAGAGCCCCGUCUGGUUGGAUACCAAACCUGUGUUAAACUCCUUCAACGAGUCGAGUAGUUUGGGAAUGCUGCUCUAAAUGGGAGGUAAAUCUCUUCUAAAGCUAAAUACUGGCCAGAGACCGAUAGCGCACAAGUAGAGUGAUCGAAAGAUGAAAAGCACCUUGAAAAGGGGGUUAAACAGUACGUGAAAUUGUUGAAAGGGAAGCGUUUAUGACCAGACUUGUGUCGUGUGGCUCAUCCGAGGUUUUCCCCGGUGCACUCCACGCGGCUCAGGCCAACAUCGGUUCUCGUUGGGGGAUAAGAACAGUAGGAACGUAGCUCCUCUCGGGGAGUGUUAUAGCCUGUUGUACGAUACUCUGACGGGGACCGAGGACCGCGCUUCGGCUAGGAUGUUGGCGUAAUGGUCAUUAGCGACCCGUCUUGAAACACGGACCAAGGAGUCGUCCAUUAGAGCGAGCGUUUGGGUGUAAAACCCGCACGCGUAAUGAAAGUGAAAUUAGGUGAGAGCUUCGGCGCAUCAUCGACCGAUCCUGAAGUUUACGGAUGGAUUUGAGUAAGAGUUUUAACGGACGGACCCGAAAGACAGUGAACUAUGCUUGAAUAGGGUGAAGCCAGAGGAAACUCUGGUGGAGGCUCGCAGCGGUUCUGACGUGCAAAUCGAUCGUCAAAUUUGAGCAUGGGGGGCGAAAGACUAAUCGAACUGUCUAGUAGCUGGUUACC
rnacentral:rRNA from 1 species